GACGAACGCUGGCGGCGUGCUUAACACAUGCAAGUCGAACGAAGUGGCGGACGGGUGAGUAACGCGUAAUCAACCUGCCCUUCAGGGGGGGACAACAGUUGGAAACGACCGCUAAUACCGCAUACUGAAGGAGGGGUUUGCGGCUGAUUAGCUAGUUGGGGGGGGAACGGCCCACCAAGGCGAUGGUAAGUCACCGGUCUGAGAGGAGGAACGGCCACAUUGGGACUGGGACACGGCCCAGACCCCUACGGGAGGCAGCAGGGGGGAAUCUUCCGCAAUGGACGAAAGGCUGACGGAGCAACGCCGCGUGAGGGAUGACGGCCUUCGGGUUGUAAAGCUCUGUUAAUCGGGACGCGGUACCGGAAUAGAAAGCCACGGCUAACUACGUGCCAGCCGCCGCGGUAAUAC
rnacentral:rRNA from 1 species